rnacentral:rRNA from 1 species
AUUGAACGCUGGCGGCAGGCCUAACACAUGCAAGUCGAACGAGUGGCGGACGGGUGAGUAAUGUCUGGGAAACUGCCCGAUGGAGGGGGAUAACUACUGGAAACGGUAGCUAAUACCGCAUACCAUCGGAUGUGCCCAGAUGGGAUUAGCUAGUGGGUGGGGUAAUGGCUCACCUAGGCGACGAUCCCUAGCUGGUCUGAGAGGAUGACCAGCCACACUGAGACUGAGACACGGCCCAGACUCCUACGGGAGGCAGCAGGGGGGAAUAGUGCACAGUGGGGGAAAGCCUGAUGCAGCCAUGCCGCGUGUAUGAAGAAGGCCUGCGGGUUGUAAAGUACUUUCGGCGGGGAAGCGUUACCCGCAGAAUAAGCCCCGGCUAACUACGUGCCAGCAGCCGCGGUAAUAC